rnacentral:ncRNA from 1 species
UUCUUAUCAAGAGUGACCGAGGGAUAGGCCCUUUGACGUCACAGCAACCUUCCUGCGGGAGUGGUGCUAAAUCCGCCAGAAUGUAUUUAUUCUGGGAGAUAAGAG